ACUCCAUGGUAUGGACAUUUUCGUUGCAAAUCCUUGAAUCUUUCCCAGGCAUCAUGAACCGAUUCGUUGUCACGUUGCUUGAAACUAGUGAUGUCAAUUCUCAGCUU
rnacentral:snoRNA from 1 species